GCGGCGGUAACUCAGUUGGUAGAGUAUCAGCCUUCCAAGCUGAUUGUCGCCGGUUCGAGCCCGGUCCGCCGCU
rnacentral:tRNA from 1 species